UAAUUAACACAUAAGAUAGGUCGACGA
rnacentral:piRNA from 2 species